GACGAACGCUGGCGGCGUGCUUAACACAUGCAAGUCGAACGCUGAAGCUUGGUGCUUGCUCUGGGUGGAUGAGUGGCGAACGGGUGAGUAAUACGUGAGUAACCUGCCCUUGACUCUGGGAUAAGCCUGGGAAACUGGGUCUAAUACUGGAUAUGACAUGCCACUGCAUGGUGGUGUGUGGAAAGGGUUUUACUGGUUUUGGAUGGGCUCACGGCCUAUCAGCUUGUUGGUGGGGUAAUGGCCUACCAAGGCGACGACGGGUAGCCGGCCUGAGAGGGUGAACGGCCACACUGGGACUGAGACACGGCCCAGACUCCUACGGGAGGCAGCAGUGGGGAAUAUUGCACAAUGGGCGGAAGCCUGAUGCAGCGACGCCGCGUGAGGGAUGACGGCCUUCGGGUUGUAAACCUCUUUCAGCACGGAAGAAGCGAGAGUGACGGUACGUGCAGAAGAAGCGCCGGCUAACUACGUG
rnacentral:rRNA from 1 species